rnacentral:lncRNA from 1 species
AACAAGUCUUGUGUUGUGUUCUUGAGAAUCUCUAGAUUGGGACCUAUUAUAUUGGUGGGAAAUUAAAAACCUCAAGGAGGGAAUCGUGAUCUACGACUGCCAAAAUCUAGAUCUACGAUGUUUAGAGAUUUCACCGCAUUCGUAAUUUAGUGAUCCAGGUUUGUCUCUUCCUUGCUAUGUUCUUAACAUUACUUGAACUGGGUCUCUUGCUUCUGCUUAAUCUUCGCUUUGGAUGCUGAAAAAAAGCUACGAACUUGAAGUUAUCUUCUUCUGGGUUCACAAUAAUGCUGAAAUUGAAAAUUAGGGCUUUUGUGCUCCAUUACUUAACUACGACUCACUUCUCAUUUCGUUACUUCAUUUAUUCAUUAAACUUUAAUUUAGUGAGCUUAUGGAAAAAAAUUCUAAAGACUUCUCAUUUUUUAUGCAAGGUGUUUGUGAAUGAUUCAAAAACGCAUGUGCCUUAGGGAUCCUAUGUGAGUCACUACCAUCUAUAUAAUUGUCUUGACCUUUUUUCAUUCGGUUUGCUAACCAUUGUUCUCUUUGUUAAUAAUUUUUUUUUUGCUUCAUUGCAGAGAUGAUGAGCCUUUUUAUCAUCUUGACAGGUUUUAAACAUUAGACUUAUGUUAUCAUCUAUGCCCUCUAUUACAAGGUAUAAUCCUGCAUUCUGAAAUUAUCCCUUAUACUCUUUUUAUUUGUGUUUCGACACUGCUUAUGAUGGUGACGUUAAAAAAGCUUGCAAGUAUGGGAUGUACACUUGUAUUCACGAUUUAUCAAAGUAAAAGUGUUUGGUUUGUUUGAUAGAAUAUCAAAUGGAAACACACACUUUUUUUAGGAGACACUGGCUUGCUUACAGGUAAAUAUAAAAUGUUUGAAAGUAUUAUUUUCUAUUUUUGGCUGGUCACUUUAUUGUGUUCGGGUUAGCUUAUUUAUCUCUCUUCAUUGUGUUCGAUUAACACCAAAUUUGUUGUUCAUUGGCUGUCUGUUCUCCCACAUAUAGCUUGUCAUUGUUUUUGUGUUCUCUCAUUUGCAAAUUGUGUUCAAUUGUGUUCUGUCCAAAAUUGUGUUCGAUAGAUUCUAGUCCUUUAAUGUUAGUGUGUUCUGUCUAAGUACUUACUCGCUGGGAUUAUGUUGCAUUGUGGUCAACUGUUUAUAAUUCCUUAACAUCAUCGUAUCAUCAUUUUAUUGUUCUAGUAUUCUUCUUUACUCUUUCCCCACUAAAAUUCAUGUAAUACUCGCAGACAUGCACAUUAUCAUAUUGGAUUCUUCUGGUGUUGUUGAUAUGGAAAGAUGGGAGUUCUCGUUGGUAUAUCAUCUACACAUAUAACAUCAGAGAAAUUCUAAACUAACAUGUAAGUGGAUUUGACUUUUACAUUUAAAGCUCAUGGUUUUUCAUACAAAGUGCUUAGUGUUACACUUCCAUUUACAAAGUCUUAACAUAUAUUAUCUCUGUAUCUUGUAAAAGCAUGUCGUCUUAGAUCCUUUUGCAUAUAGUUUAUAUCUUUGUUGCAGCUUUAUAUUAAACAUUUUUCUCUAAACACUAGUAACUUGUGGUUGCAUCUUACAAUUAGAAGCUCCAUAGUACAGGUUUGAUGAUAGCAAAAUGUUUAUUUUCUUUUUGUUAUUUUGCAGAUUCCCUGGCAAAUGAUUUAAGAAGAUUCAAAGUAAUUUUUUUUGUACCUUUGAGUUUGGUUGUAUUACAUUUAAAUAUUGAUUGUGUUACAUUUCAAUUUGGAUUAAUAUAUAACACAAUUUACAUUUAAA